CAGCUGUUUCGCGAGACAGGUGGCCGCAGCAAAUGCGGAAAAACACACAAACAGUACAACCGCGACCUCUCGGUCGGUGGCUGCUGGUAAAAUCGCGAAGAACCCGGAGUUCUGCUCUUUCUUGUGGGGAAGUUUUACGGUUCUUGGAUACGGAUUGCACAUUCUUUUCUCGUCCGAAGACGCAGGGGGUUGGCGAGGAGAGCACAUUGUGAAACGGGACAGCAACUCACAAACGUUAUGGUUGUGGCGAGUCUGGUGAGACCCAGCACAACUCUCGUUUCCUGCAAAAUCAUUGCACCAGCAAGCGUACACGCAGUUGGUUGAAGGAAGACUCCUUUUAUGCUAACCUUCCAGUUGUUUACGUAACAAGUUUUCAUGCUUUGGAACUUCCGCCGCUGGAC
rnacentral:lncRNA from 1 species